GAUUUCUGGCACGAUGCGCCUGGCCCGCCACGGUUACGUGUGUGAGUGCCGGGUCGGAUCUGCCAUCCUUCCAGAGAGUGGUCCUACCCUUCACUGGGCCGGGGCCGCACCCUCUGGAUCGUUUACUUUGAAAAAAUUAGAGUGUUUCAAGCAGGCGUCUCGCUGUGAAUACAUUAGCAUGGAAUAAUAACUUAGGACUUCGGUUCUAUUUUGUUGGUUUCUAGGACUGAAGUAAUGAUUGAUAGGGAUAGUUGGGGGUGCUAGUAUUCAGUGGCCAGAGGUGAAAUUCUCGGAUUCACUGAAGACUAACUUAUGCGAAAGCAUU
rnacentral:rRNA from 1 species